ACCCAACUCGGUCGAACUGAGUUUACAGGUCUAGCAACGCUUGCCACCGCAAUGGAAAUGUAGGUACAGAUUGCAACAACUGCCCCGUCUAGGUCUAGAUUUUUCCUCUGAAAUAAACCUGAUUUCAUCCUGGAGGAUUAUCACAUUUCAGAACACAUCUCAGCCGGGGAGUGGUGGUGCAGUUUCAACACCAGAACCUGAGAGGCAGAGGAAGUCUGGGAUGUUACCAGCAUCUUCAGGAAUCAUCACAACCCUUCAUUCAGUCAGACCAGACCCUGAGGUACGGCCCCUCUCCUCAUCUCUGGAAUUUGGGAACUGGGCAAGGCCAAGAUAGAGAGGAGGCGUGGCCCUGGCACUGGAAACCUGACUCCUGUCUCCACUUCUGUAUUUUCCCCAGGCACGGAUGAAGCCAGAGGGUUUGUGGUGUCAGGAUGUUGUCUGGGGCUGCUGGUGAAGACAGGCGGUGACUGGGAUGAUCAGGGUUCGGAAUCUCCUUCCUGCCUUCCACUCAGGUGGUGCAUAAAGGUUUAGAGAAUCAGCAUUGAAAGCGUAGACAGAUCACAGUUCUGUGCCCUUCUGCUAAACUGAGCUAAAGUCUGCGUUAGGUUCAGACUAUGUAAAUGUCAAAAUGGAGUCCCAGGAACUGCCUAGGACAGACUUUCGCCAGAGCACAAUGAAGAUGACACUGGCACUGACUCUGCUGCGAUUCUGUGUCCUGCCGGGUUAGAUACGGAACCGCGCGGGAGACCGCGGAAGCUGAUCCUGCGAGCGAAGGGCGGGCUGUGGCUGCGGGUGGAGCCGCUGACCCCACACCUGGUUUGAUAUCACCCCACCCACCCACCUCAUCGGGAUCCCAGAAUUAACAGAGGUGUUGCCCACACUCGAACCUCACCAUAUACCAACAGGGGGCGCUAUGAAACCGGACUGGUGCCUUUGAGUCCAAGAGCUUUCCUGUCCUCUAGGUGACCACAGGGCUUCCUCCCUGAGCUAGACUAUCCUGUAAGAGCCACUGUAGAUGUCUAAACAAAGGAGGGAACGGGUUUGAGCUUCUGUCACUGAAGCAAACACUGCAUUUUCUUUUGUUUUUGAAACAAGGUCUUACUCAUACAGUCGUAGUAGCCUAGACCUGACUGUGGACCAGUUUACAGCAAACUUCUGCUGAGACCUCAACCACCCAAAUGGUGCAAUUAGAAGGUGGGAUAAUUAUUAGAAACAAAGGGCAGUUUCCCAGGGGAAGUCUGGGAGCCCUUCAAAAUGAUGUUAAAUGAUGUCCAAGGCUUGCAGUGUUUAAGACCAUUGAGGCAGCUUGAAUUUAAAAUGGCAUCACAUUGCAAGCACCCUGUGUGGUGAUGUCCUUUCAGGUCUCCCCUUAUUCCUCCUGGGGCUGGGGAGGUGGCUCAGUGGAGAGACAGGAGGAUCCCGGGGCCUCACUAGCCAGCUAAUCUUGUGAAAUCAGAAAGCUCUAGUGCCUUUAAUCCUGGCACUUGUUGAGGUCAGCCUGAUUUACCAAGCAUGUUCUAGGACAGCCAGGGCCACACAGAGAAAUCCUGUCUGGAAAAAAAUAAAGGGGGUGGGGUGGGUGGAAAAUGGGUUCUAGGUUCAGUGAGAUAAUUUGUCUGAUGAAGUGGACGGAGAUAGACAAAGAAACCUGAUGUCAACCCCCAGCCUCCUCAUGUUCAAGCUUGUGCACACAUGUGCAUGCAUAAUUUCCCUUAUCAAAUCACUUCUGGAAUUUGAUUUUUCUCCCUCCCAUUAGAAAGCAAUUAAACUGAUUCCAGCUGGGCACACAUCCGUAAUCCCAGUAUUUGGGGGACUGACUGGGAAACUUGAUUUUCAGACCAGCCUGGGCUACAUAGAAAGUUUGAAGAGUUGCUGGGGGGGUACAUUGAGUCUUAGGGAAGAGACACCAUGACCAAGACAAUUUUGUAAAGGACAACAUUUAGUCAGGGCUGGCUUACAGGUUCAGAGGUUCAGUCCAUCGUCAUCAAGGCGGGGACAUGGUAGUGUCCAGGCAGGCCUGGUGCAGGAGGAGCUGAGAGUUCUACAUCUUCAUCUGAAGGCCGCUAGAAGACUGACUUCCAGCCAGCCAGGAGGAGGGUCUCAAAGUCCAUUCACACGGUAGCAGCACUCUUCUUCCAAAAAGGCCACUCCCUGGGCCAAGUAUAUUCAAACCCCCACACAUAAUGAGAUCCCAUCUUAAAAAACUCAAAAGUAAAUAAAAUCCAGAAUUUUACAUUUUCCUAACU